AUGAACGCUAGCUACAGGCUUAACACAUGCAAGUCGAGGGGCAGCAUGGUCUUAGCUUGCUAAGGCCGAUGGCGACCGGCGCACGGGUGAGUAACGCGUAUCCAACCUGCCUUACACUCUUGGACAGCCUUCUGAAAGGGAGAUUAAUACAAGAUGUUAUCAUGAGUAAGCAUUUUCGCAUGAUUAAAGGUUUACCGGUGUAAGAUGGGGAUGCGUUCCAUUAGAUAGUAGGCGGGGUAACGGCCCACCUAGUCUUCGAUGGAUAGGGGUUCUGAGAGGAAGGUCCCCCACAUUGGAACUGAGACACGGUCCAAACUCCUACGGGAGGCAGCAGUGAGGAAUAUUGGUCAAUGGACGAGAGUCUGAACCAGCCAAGUAGCGUGAAGGAUGAAGGUUCUAUGGAUUGUAAACUUCUUUUAUACGGGAAUAAACGAAUCCACGCGUGGAUUUUUGCAUGUACCGUAUGAAUAAGGAUCGGCUAACUCCGUGCCAGCAGCCGCGGUAAUACGGAGGAUCCGAGCGUUAUCCGGAUUUAUUGGGUUUAAAGGGAGCGUAGAUGGGUUGUUAAGUCAGUUGUGAAAGUUUGCGGCUCAACCGUAAAAUUGCAAUUGAUACUGGCAGUCUUGAGUACAGUUGAGGUAGGCGGAAUUCGUGGUGUAGCGGUGAAAUGCUUAGAUAUCACGAAGAACUCCGAUUGCGAAGGCAGCUUACUAACCUGUAACUGACAUUGAUGCUCGAAAGUGUGGGUAUCAAACAGGAUUAGAUACCCUGGUAGUCCACACGGUAAACGAUGAAUACUCGCUGUAGGCGAUAUACAGUCUGCGGCCAAGCGAAAGCAUUAAGUAUUCCACCUGGGGAGUACGCCGGCAACGGUGAAACUCAAAGGAAUUGACGGGGGCCCGCACAAGCGGAGGAACAUGUGGUUUAAUUCGAUGAUACGCGAGGAACCUUACCCGGGCUUAAAUUGCAACCGAAUAUGGCGGAAACGCUAUAGCUAGCAAUAGCGGUUGUGAAGGUGCUGCAUGGUUGUCGUCAGCUCGUGCCGUGAGGUGUCGGCUUAAGUGCCAUAACGAGCGCAACCCUUGCCGAUAGUUACUAACAGGUCAUGCUGAGGACUCUGUCGGGACUGCCAUCGUAAGAUGUGAGGAAGGUGGGGAUGACGUCAAAUCAGCACGGCCCUUACGUCCGGGGCUACACACGUGUUACAAUGGGGGGUACAGAGGGCUGCUACCACGCAAGUGGAUGCCAAUCCCAAAAACCUCUCUCAGUUCGGAUUGAAGUCUGCAACCCGACUUCAUGAAGCUGGAUUCGCUAGUAAUCGCGCAUCAGCCACGGCGCGGUGAAUACGUUCCCGGGCCUUGUACACACCGCCCGUCAAGCCAUGGGAGCCGGGGGUACCUGAAGUGCGUAACCGCAAGGAGCGCCCUAGGGUAAAACUGGUGACUGGGGCU
rnacentral:rRNA from 1 species